AGAGGAAAAUCCGUCGACUUUAAAAUCGUGAGGGUUCAAGUCCCUCUAU
rnacentral:tRNA from 2 species